GGGCAGUUGGCGCAGUGGUAGCGCGCCUCAUUUGCACCUAGGUUUAUGGCCAAGGUUAGCCGGAAAGCUUGAGGAGGUCAUGGGUUCAAAUCCCAUACUGUCCA
rfam:Tulasnella calospora MTT 4182 unplaced genomic scaffold scaffold_197, whole genome shotgun sequence.